GAUUAACGCUGGCGGCAUGCCUAAUACAUGCAAGUCGAACGAAGAUAUUUCGGUAUCUUAGUGGCGAACGGGUGAGUAACACGUAGGUAACCAACCUAAUAGAGAGGGAUAACAGGAAGAAAUUUCUGCUAAUACCAAAUGAAAAAUAUUUGAGGCAUCUCAGAUAUUUGAAAGGGUCCUGAAAGGGAUCGCUAGGAGAUGGACCUGCGGCGCAUUAGUUAGUUGGUGGGGUAGAGGCUUACCAAGACGAUGAUGCGUAGCCGGCCUGAGAGGGUGAACGGCCACACUGGGACUGAGACACGGCCCAGACUCCUACGGGAGGCAGCAGUAGGGAAUAUUCGGCAAUGGGGGAAACCCUGACCGAGCAAUGCCGCGUGAGAGAAGAAGGCCUUAUGGGUUGUAAAUCUCUGUUGUAAGGAAAGAAAGAAGUGUAUAGGAAAUGAUAUGCUUAAGACGGUACCUUGCGAGGAAGUCACGGCAAACUACGUGCCAGCCGCCGCUGUAACAC
rnacentral:rRNA from 1 species